CCUGAAGACAAGGGGUAACACACCAAAUUAUGGACUCAUUUUCCACUCCACCUUCAUUGGCCGAGCAGCAGCCAAGAACAAAGACCGCAUCUCCCGAUACCUGGCAAACAAAUGCAGUAUUGCCUCACGAAUCGAUUGUUUCUCUGAGGUACCCACGAGUGUAUUUAGGGAGAAGCUUCGGGAACAAGUUGAGGAGCGGCUGUCCUUCUAUGAGACUGGGGAUAUUCCACGAAAGAAUCUGGAUGUCAUGAAGGAAGCAAUGGUUCAGGCAGAGGAAGCUGCUGCUGAGAUUACUAGGAAGCUGGAGAAACAGGAGAAGAAACGCUUGAAGAAGGAAAAGAAACGACUCGCUGCGUUUGCUCCUUGCAUCUCCAGAAAACAGCAGUAGUACUCCAGAGGAGUGUGAGGAGAUUGCUGAAAAACCCAAAAAGAAGAAAAAGCAAAAGCCCCAGGAGGCUCCUCAAGAGAAUGGAAUGGAAGACCCAUCUAUCUCAGUCUCCAAACCCAAGAAAAAGAAAUCUUUUUCCAAGGAGGAAUUAGUUAAUAAUGAUCUUGAAGACACUACUGGCAGUACAAGUCUUCCCAAGAGGAAGAAAUCCUUACCCAAGGAGGAAAUAACUAGUGAUCCUGAAGAGGCAGGCAACAGGAGCGUCUCCAAGAAAAAGAGGAAAUUCUCUUCCAAGGAAGAGCCAGGCAGCAGUGGACCAGAAGAGGGUGCUAGCAGCAAGAGCAGCUCCAAGAAGAUGAAAAAGUUCCACAAACAACCCCAGGAAGAUUAG